GGAGGAUACUCGCUCAGAUACACGCGCUCAUCGGUCAAGAUCACAUGCAUGAAAACCUUCUUCACCGACCCCGAGACCACCACACACGGCUCGUAGAACCGGAUCCGCUCGUACACAUCCCGAAAUGAUGGCAGUGAACACAGACCCUCGCAGUCCGGCGGGUAGUUGCUCCACUGAGCGGUGUUGAUACGCAGGACACAGGUGAUUUUCUCGCUGCCCACCAGCUGGUACCCCUCGAGGCACCAGAACGCCAACACCGUCCCCACAGACAUCCCUGUGCCCUUCUCUACAUAGAAAGAACCUCGCCGAGGGGGCAGCAGCGACACGCAGCUCAGGUCUGCAAAAAAACAA